CGGCUCACCAAACCGUCGAUGGAUAGGGGUUCUGAGAGGACGGUCCCCCACAUAGGAACUGAGACACGGUCCAAACUCGUCCGGGAGGCAGCAGUGAGGAAUAUUGGUCAAUGGGCGCAGGCCUGAACCAGCCAAGUAGCGUGAAGGAUGACUGCCCUAUGGGUUGUAAACUUCUUUUAUAUGGGAAUAAAGUUUUCCACGUGUGGAAUUUUGUAUGUACCAUAUGAAUAAGGAUCGGCUAACUCCGUUCCAGCAGCCGCGGUAAUACGGAGUAUCCGAGCGUUAUCCGGAUUUAUUGGGUUUAAAGGGAGCGUAGGUGGACAGUUAAGUCAGUUGUGAAAGUUUGCGGCUCAACCGUAAAAUUGCAGUUGAUACUGGCUGUCUUGAGUACAGUAGAGGUGGGCGGAAUUCGUGGUGUAGCGGUGAAAUGCUUAGAUAUCACGAAGAACUCCGAUUGCGAAGGCAGCUCACUGGACUGCAACUGACACUGAUGCUCGAAAGUGUGGGUAUCAAACAGGAUUAGAUACCCUGGUAGUCCACACAGUAAACGAUGAAUACUCGCUGUUUGCGAUAUACAGUAAGCGGCCAAGCGAAAGCAUUAAGUAUUCCACCUGGGGAGUACGCCGGCAACGGUGAAACUCAAAGGAAUUGACGGGGGCCCGCACAAGCGGAGGAACAUGUGGUUUAAUUCGAUGAUACGCGAGGAACCUUACCCGGGCUUAAAUUGCAUUUGAAUAAUCUGGAAACAGGUUAGCCGCAAGGCAAAUGUGAAGGUGCUGCAUGGUUGUCGUCAGCUCGUGCCGUGAGGUGUCGGCUUAAGUGCCAUAACGAGCGCAACCCUUAUCUUUAGUUACUAACAGGUCAUGCUGAGGACUCUAGAGAGACUGCCGUCGUAAGAUGUGAGGAAGGUGGGGAUGACGUCAAAUCAGCACGGCCCUUACGUCCGGGGCUACACACGUGUUACAAUGGGGGGUACAGAAGGCAGCUACCUGGUGACAGGAUGCUAAUCCCAAAAGCCUCUCUCAGUUCGGAUCGAAGUCUGCAACCCGACUUCGUGAAGCUGGAUUCGCUAGUAAUCGCGCAUCAGCCAUGGCGCGGUGAAUACGUUCCCGGGCCUUGUACACACCGCCCGUCAAGCCAUGAAAGCCGGGGGUACCUGAAGUACGUAACCGCAAGGAGCGUCCUAGGGUAAAACUGGUAAUUGGGGCUAAGUCGUAACAAGGUAGCCGUACCGGGAAGGUGCGGCUG
rnacentral:rRNA from 1 species